UGGAUUUCAGCUAAGUUAUGCUUUGGGUAAAUUAUGCUGUAUUUUGUUUGUUAUUUUAGAGUUUAUAAGGUGACCUAAUGCAUAAUACCCAAUUGUGCAUUAUGACUAAAAAAAGAGGGUGUAACUCUUUAAAUUUGAAAUGCACUUUGAAUUUACCAUUAAUUCCCUGCAAUAUAUACUUUAGUGAAUAUACCUGCCAGUGUCUGCUCUAAUUUGUAAAACGAUUGCAACCAAAAAUACAUACAUCCAGCUGCAGGAACACCCCCCAAAAUUAUCUUGUUAUUAUUUACUGAUUAUAUCGCCAGUUAUGUAUUAACAUAUAUGUGAAAGCAAGCAAUAUUUUACAACAAUUUAUACACUACAUUUCUCUGCCAUAUAUGAUAUUUUGGAGGCUUUACUUACUUCUUAGUUUCUUGGAAGAGAUGACCGAGAGGACAAGUCAUACUUUGAAUUGGCUGUGAUACAUAAAGUAAUGUGUGCUCUCUGAUGAUGAAUGAUUGUAUUGAACUGUUCUAUAUGUAAAGGGCGGUGUUUAAAUAGAAUAUGUUUUCAACAGGUAAAGUAAAAAAAAAUAAUCUAAAUUUAACUAACAAUUUAUUUUAAGACCAAAUUGAAAUGUAGACAAGGCAGGAAGACUAAGCAGUUCCUCUGUCCCGUCAAUGUGUACAGUUCUAGUAAACUGUAAGUAUUACAGGGCAUGGGAGUUAAUCUGGAACAUAACAAAACAGCUGCUGGCAUGUCUAAGUCAAUGAUGGUGGCAGUGUUCCCAUGGGCAUCAUUUUAAAACUGUAUGCUAUGUUCAGUGAAUCUAAGUAAAGAAGUUAGCACGAGGACAGAGAUUUGCAACCCUGCUUUAUUUAUAGUUUGACAUAUGAAAUUGAGCUCAGGUGAAUCAGGUCAAUUGAAUGAGAAUUUGUAGAUCAGCAAAUUCACAGAACUGCAGGCCUUUGCCAGAACGAGCUGAUAAACAUUUAGAGGGUGGUAUGUGGACAUUGUGUGGCUGAGCAAUAGAUUUAUAUAUAAAAGUAAGCAAAAAAAACAAACCAUGGUCUGUUUCAACUAGUAUCUAGAUUCACUCUUAGGAACAUCAUCUGCAUUCUUAUCCCAGAAUAAGGAGAGAGCUAUUUGGUAUUUUGACCCACAGAUGCCAUUGUGAAAUAGAUUUUACUUAGUAAAACAACAUUUUCAGCAGAAAAUUUUGACAAAGUUAUUCGGAGUAGUGACUACUUUAUUUGGGAGGACAUUGAGAAAUGUAUGAAAUUAGCUCAUAUAAAAGCAACUCUAAGUGGGGCCACAUUUAAUUUACAAAUAAAUCCUAAAGAAAGUGUACUGUGGGCCCAAUGGGCCCAGAUUUAAAAAAGUGAGUGAUGGUUCCCAGCAAAGGCGGCUCUAGACUUUAUGAAGCCUUAGGCGAAACUGAAACAUGAAACUCCACUAACAAAAAAAAAGUGAAAAAUAUUAAGUUGCAAUACAUGCACACUGUCACAUAUACACAUUGAUGCACAAUUUACCUGUGUAUGUGCCUGAGAGUGUGUCUAAGAGAGAGUAUCCUUGUGUGUCGUUUUUGUCUGGGAUUGUAUGUGUAUGGGGUAGCUGCUUGAAGUGUGUUUGGGGGUCUGCCUGUAGCCUUUGUGCAUUGUGAUUGUGCUGUUUCUCCAGCACCCCCAAUUGGGCUUAAUGAUCUAAUGGUAAAUAUAUAUUUAUUUUAUCUUUUAGGGGUUUCUCUAAAGAAAAAAAAUUAGUUUAAUCAAAGAAACAACAAAGGAAAACCUACCUUCAUUACAACGCAAAGGCCUUGUUCUCGCUAGAGCACAAUCCUUCUCCAGUGAUGUUACUCGUUAUUAUUGCAGAGGAAGGGAUGUCCUGGAGGACAGACAAAGGGAAGUACUUGGAUGGCAUCAAAAU
rnacentral:lncRNA from 1 species